AACGAACGCUGGCGGCAUGCCUAACACAUGCAAGUCGAACGAGACCUUCGGGUCUAGUGGCGCACGGGUGCGUAACGCGUGGGAACCUGCCCUUAGGUUCGGAAUAACUCCCCGAAAGGGGUGCUAAUACCGGAUAAUGUCUUCGGACCAAAGAUUUAUCGCCUUUGGAUGGGCCCGCGUUGGAUUAGCUAGUUGGUAGGUAAAAGCCUACCAAGGCGACGAUCCAUAGCUGGUCUGAGAGGAUGAUCAGCCACACUGGGACUGAGACACGGCCCAGACUCCUACGGGAGGCAGCAGUGGGGAAUAUUGGACAAUGGGCGAAAGCCUGAUCCAGCAAUGCCGCGUGAGUGAUGAAGGCCUUAGGGUUGUAAAGCUCUUUUACCCGGGAUGAUAAUGACAGUACCGGGAGAAUAAGCUCCGGCUAACUCCGU
rnacentral:rRNA from 1 species